rnacentral:rRNA from 1 species
UGCUAUAUGAAACUAAUAUAUAGUAUCUUCCUGCCCGGUGAAAUUUUAACGGCCGCGGUAUCCUAACCGUGCAAAGGUAGCAUAAUAAUUUGUUCAUUAAUUGUGAACUUGUAUGAAAGGAAUAACGAAAUAAGAACUGUUUCAUUAUAUUUUACCAUAAACUAUUAUUAAAAUGAAGAAAUUUUAAUUAUAUUAAAGGACAAGAAGACCCUAUAGAGCUUUAUUAAUAUAUUAUUCCUAAUACUAAUAAAUUCGGUUGGGGCGACCCAGGACAACUCAUCCUAUAUAUAACUAGACUUAUAAAUCACUCAUCAUGAUCCAUCUAAUGAUCACAAAUUCUAGCUACCUUAGGGAUAACAGGCUAAUUCUUCUUUAGAGCUCCUAUCAACAGAAGAGAUUGGCACCUCGAUGUUGGCUUAGAUUACCUAUAUGGCGCAGUCGUCAUAAAAGGGGGUUUGUUCAACCCAUUAUUAUCU